CAGAUGUUGCAUUCAAGCUGAGAUGUGUUUGUGUGGCGAGCCUCCUUCAUUGUUCAGGUAAAGGAAACAAAUGACAGUCGUGUACCGGUGCCUCGGGUGGACCAAACCUCACGAACCGUCAGUAAAUCGCUGGGAAAUUGCGUUACCCAGAGCUAUAUUUCUCUCUGAAGUCUUCAUGAGUUGUCCAGUCGUACCUUUAACCCGGAGACUUUUAAUAAACCUUCAAACACA